rnacentral:misc_RNA from 1 species
UCUCCGUUGGUGAACCAGCGGAGGGAUCAUUACCGAGUGAGGGUUCCGGCCCGACCUCCAACCCUUUGUGAAUUCGACCCAGUUGCCUCGGGGGGCCGCCCGGGAGUGUCGCGUUCUGCGCGCUCGCCCGGGAGCCACGGCGCCCCGGUGGCCCAAAAAACUCUUGUUUUGUAUGGCCUAUCAGAAAUACUAUCUAAUAGUUAAAACUUUCAGCAACGGAUCUCUUGGUUCUGGCAUCGAUGAAGAACGCAGC